ACAGACAGAGGCAGUAUGGCUGGGCUGGCAGCCAGGCUGUGCCAAGAGCGAGCAGCUGCUGAGGGGCUGGGUUCCUACAGGAAGGCCAUCAGCUACUUGGGCCAGGACUACGAGGCACUGAGGCAGAGGUGCCUUCAGACUGGGACUCUGUUCAAGGAUGAGGAGUUCCCUGCCUGCCCAUCUGCACUGGGAUACCAGGACCUGGGACCCUACUCCUUCAAAACCCAGGGAGUAGUCUGGAAACGGCCCACGGAGUUAUGUGACAAUCCUCAGUUCAUAGUCGGAGGAGCUACUCGGACAGAUGUUUGCCAAGGAGAGCUGGGUGACUGCUGGCUCCUGGCUGCCAUUGCAUCUCUGACUUUGAAUCCAGAUGUUCUUCACCAAGUUGUUCCCAAGGCUCAGAGUUUUCAGGAGAACUAUGCUGGGAUCUUUCAUUUCCAGUUCUGGCAGUAUGGAGAGUGGGUGGAUGUGGUGGUAGACGACCGGCUGCCCACCAAGAACGGGGAGCUGCUCUUCGUGCAUUCAGAGGAAGGCAAUGAGUUCUGGAGCGCACUGCUGGAGAAAGCCUACGCCAAGCUGAAUGGUUCUUAUGAAGCUCUAGCUGGAGGGUCCACUAUAGAGGGGUUUGAGGAUUUUACUGGAGGCAUCUCUGAAUCCUAUGACCUGCGGAGGGCUCCAGCAAACCUGUUCCAAAUUGUCCAGAAGGCUCUGAGGGCUGGCUCACUGCUCGGCUGUUCCAUUGAUAUAACUCGUGCAUCUGAAACAGAAGCAAUCACGAGUCUGAAGCUUGUGAAAGGACAUGCUUAUUCUGUCACUGGGGCAGAAGAGGUCUAUUACCGAGGACGGCCAGAGAAACUUGUGAGGCUUAGAAAUCCCUGGGGUGAAAUAGAAUGGACUGGAGCGUGGAGUGAUAAUGCUCCCGAAUGGAAUUAUAUUGAUCCCAAACAAAAGCAGGCUCUGGAUAAGCAAGUAGAUGAUGGAGAAUUUUGGAUGGCGUUUUCUGAUUUUCAAAGGCAGUUCACCCGUCUGGAGAUCUGCAACCUGACUCCUGACACACUGACAAGCAAUCAGGUCAACAAAUGGGACCUGACCAUGUUCAAUGGACAGUGGAUACGGGGUUCAACAGCUGGAGGUUGCCAGAACUACCCAGCAACAUACUGGAUCAAUCCCCAGUUUAAAAUCCGGCUGGAUGAACCAGAUGAUGAUCAUGAAGGGAGUUUGAAUGAGCCAUGCUGUACUAUAUUGGUGGGCUUGAUGCAGAAGAACCGCAGGAGACAGAAGAGAAUGGGAGAAGGUCUGCUUAGUAUUGGUUAUUCACUCUAUCAGAUUCCACAGGAGCUGGAAAAUAACAAAGACAUUCAUCUGAACCGUGCUUUCUUCACAAGGAACCAACCAGUAGCCCGGUCUGAGACUUACAUCAACCUGCGUGAAGUCUCCAGCCGCAUUAAAUUGCCCAAAGGAGAGUACCUCAUUGUGCCAUCCACAUUUGAGCCUUACAAAAAUGGAGAGUUCUGCCUUCGAGUUUUUUCUGAGAAAAAGGUUAAAACUCAGAUGAUUGGUGAUACGGUGGCUGCAAAACCAUAUGAGCCUCAUGUUGAUAACAAAGAUAUAGAUGAAGAGUUCAAGACUCUAUUUCAAAAACUCUCUGGAGAGGACUGUGAAGUGACUGCAACUGAACUUCAAACUAUUCUAAAUAGGGUUUUGGUGAAGAGAAAGGAUAUAAGAAGUGAUGGAUUCAACAUUAACACUUGCAGGGAGAUGAUCAGCCUUUUAGAUACUAAUGGGACUGGCACCUUGGGACUUAUAGAAUUCAAGACACUCUGGAUGAAGAUUCAGAUGUAUUUGGUAAUGUAAUAUUUCUGGCUGUCUCUCCUUCUCUCACAGCUCUAAAGUAAACAUCCAGAAAUAUGGGAGGGGUUAAGAUACACAUGGAAGAUUUCCUUCUCAUAUAGUUGGAGUUUGUUCUGGGACCAAAGAAACACCUCUGAUUUACAAGGGCACAAGCAGACCCUCUUUCUACUUAGCCCCACCGUUCUCCAUAAUUUGCAAAACCUGGGAAACCAGAUUAACUCCUUUUUUGUUGUUGGCAAAGGCAGCUGUAUCUGCUGCCUGCUGUAUUAAAGCUCAUGAGCUUGUUUCUCCGCUGCUGAGGUAUGCUACUUUGCCAGCUGAGCAACAGCAUGCAGAAGAAACAUAUUUUUAGGACCUAUCAAAAUCCUGUCUUUGUAUUUUUAAGUUCUAUACACAUACUGAAUUAUUUUUUUUCUGUCAGAAGAUAUAAUAUCCCAAGAAGUUCACGCAGAAUCGAGCAGUCUAAAGGAAGGUCAAAUCUGUACCUGCUUUGUUUGAUAACAUCCCUUUCAUGGAAGUCUGCUGCUACCCUGAUUGAUGCUGGUCAGCUCAGAGCAUCUGUCCCAGAGGUCCAUAAGAAGAGCUCUCGUCCAUGCUGGGGCUGCUGUUGGCAGAGCAGCCCUGAGAGCUGAUUCCAGUCUGUGCUGUAGGUCUGGGUGAUUUCUAAUUCUGGAUAAUAAACCUGCUGGAAGUAGGAAGCAUCUGUCAUCUUGUCUGAAAUAUUAAGAAAAAUGGACUUUAUCUAUUGCAGUUUUUGCCAAGUGUUAGGAUAUUUUCCUCAAUGGCCUGUCUGCCACCGCGUAACAUGGAAGCAGGCAAGCUGCUAGCCCAUGGGAAUGUGUUUCCCAGUCUGUCCGGCUUGCCAGUAGCUACUUGAAACAUUUCCCUUGCUCAUUAAUGUUUCAAAGGUCUUCAGCUGGCAAUCUACAGGAAGGUGGACAGAGACUACUCGGGUACCAUUGACUCCCAUGAAAUGCGAAAUGCACUCAGCGAGGCAGGUUUUGUGCUCAACAACCAGGUGCAGCAGAGUAUUGCCA